rnacentral:rRNA from 1 species
GCAAACGCAUUAAGUUCCCCGCCUGGGGAGUACGGCCGCAAGGCUAAAACUCAAAGGAAUUGACGGGGGCCCGCACAAGCGGCGGAGCAUGCGGAUUAAUUCGAUGCAACGCGAAGAACCUUACCAAGGCUUGACAUAUAGAAGAACACUGUAGAGAUACAGGACUCUUUGGACACUUCUAUACAGGUGGUGCAUGGUUGUCGUCAGCUCGUGUUGUGAGAUGUUCGGUUAAGUCCGGCAACGAGCGCAACCCUCGUCCUAUGUUGCCAGCGGGUUAUGCCGGGGACUCAUGGGAUACUGCCGUGGUCAACACGGAGGAAGGUGGGGAUGACGUCAAAUCAUCAUGCCCCUUAUGUCUUGGGCUUCACGCAUGCUACAAUGGCCGGUACAAUGGGCUGCGAUACCGUAAGGUGGAGCGAAUCCCAAAAAGCCGGUCUCAGUUCGGAUUGGGGUCUGCAACUCGACCCCAUGAAGUCGGAGUCGCUAGUAAUCGCAGAUCAGCAACGCUGCGGUGAAUACGUUCCCGGGCCUUGUACACACCGCCCGUCAAGUCAUGAAAGUCGGUAACACCCGAAGCCGAUGGCCUAACCCUUGUGGGAGGGAGUCGUCGAAGGUGGGACUGGUGAUUAGGACUAAGUCGUA